ACAAUAUUCGGACCGACGGUCUAGCGAGCAAUUUCACCCGCUCGGUGGAAGUUCUUCUUUUCGUUGU
rnacentral:pre_miRNA from 1 species